rnacentral:misc_RNA from 1 species
UUUUUUUUUUUUUUUGUGACAGGAGGGAGCAAAAGCUCAAAAGAAACUACAUUUUAACAGUUCUAGAAUAUCCCACACCAAAUUUAUCAUGGGAUAACCAAGGAAGGAGACUAGUGGGAGGUUGUUGAAACGCAUGUAGACCAAACGGAAGAGACCCGGCAAGAGUAGUAAGGCAGUCCACUACAAAAUUACCCUCUCGCCAAAUAUGACUAACAUGGACCACCCAAUCAGAUUGAAGAAGAGAUUUGAUAGCCAUAACUAAAGAGAUGGCGUUUCUAGGAGGAUCAGUCACACCUAAACCAUCUGAACCACUAGUAAAUUGUCACAUUCAACUAGCAUUUGCUGGAUUCCUAACUGUUCGGCCAGAUUCAAACCUUCAAGCAAAGCCCACAGUUCAGCAUGUAAAACAAAACAUCUUCAGAGAUUCACUGCAAGACUAGAAAGCCAAUUUCCAUUAUAAUCUCGAAUGAGAGCACCAGCAGUAGCAAGAUUAUCCGAGCUUUUCAUAGAACCAUCACAAUUUAAUUUCCACCAUCCCAUUGAAGGAGGAGACCAGCAAACCCAUUUAUACUCUAUCCGAAAGGGACUAACAAUCCCAUCACCCAACAACCCAAUGGAGUUAGUCACAUUAGCGGCAUAAUUCAGAACUUCAUAAAGGAGUGAAUCCAUGGACACAGACAUAUCACGAAAUAGGAAAAGAUUACGUCUAUUCCAGAGUUUCCAAGUAGCAAUUCCAAAAAGAAGGGGCCAAGAACGACCAUUGCUAACAAUCAGAUGACGGCUAAGAUUAUAAGCAGCCCAGUCUUUAGUCGCCAUGCGAGUAAAAAACUGGUUAAUAUCACCUGAAGGCAAGAAACCGGAAUAAAAAGCAAAGGCAAAAUUACAAUCACGAACCGCAUGUAAUGAAGAUUCAUCCCACCUAAAACACAUCAUGCAAUCACCACUUGGAGCAAAAUGACGGCGAUUCCUUUCAGCGUUGGUAAGCAAACAAUCAUGAGCAAGCAACCAAAGAAAGGACUGAACUCUGUGGGGACCCUUCCAGCCCCAAAUUCUCCACCAGUAGAUAUUAGAAGAGAGAUUAACUGCUGCUAAAUAAUUAUAACCAGUUUUCACAGAAUACACUCCUGAAGAAGAAAAUCCCCAAUAAAACUCAUCUUCGCCAAGGGCAGCAUUAGGAGCUAAAAUAGCUACAAUGGCUAAAAUAACAUGUGAAGGGAGAUGGGAACUAAAUUUCUACCAAUCCCAGGAACACUCAUCAGUGACAAAAUCCUUAAUUUUACUUUCCUGUAAAGCAAGAGGAACUGGAGAGGUCGUUACUUCUAGAAGACAAUUUUCACCCCGAACCGAAAAACGAAUCCGUUGCCCAUUCCCAACAGUCCAAGCUACACCUGAAAGAAUAUAGUGCCAAGUUUCACAAAUCCCAGGCCAGAGAACUGAACUACUAGCCUUAGGUUUGUGUGGAUAGGGUGAGGGAAGUGUAAUUAAUGAAAGGAUAAGAGAGGAUAAGGAAGGGGAAGGGUGAAGAUAGUUACAAUAAAAAAUAUCUCUUAUUUGGAAAGAGGUGAAUUAAUAGAAAGGUAAAGAAAGGUAAUGUAUAUUCUUCAUGUUUGGAAAGAGGUGAA